UACAGAGGGGGCAAGCGUUGUUCGGAAUUACUGGGCGUAAAGGGCGCGUAGGCGGCCUUCUAAGUCGAACGUGAAAUCCCCGGGCUCAACCCGGGAACUGCGUCCGAUACUGGAAGGCUUGAAUCCGGGAGAGGGAUGCGGAAUUCCAGGUGUAGCGGUGAAAUGCGUAGAUAUCGGAAGGAACGCCGGUGGCGAAAGCGACGUGCUGGACCUCUACUGACGCUGAGGCGCGAAAGCCAGGGGAGCAAACGGG
rnacentral:rRNA from 1 species